GGACACCACAGCUCCUCCACCGGAAACGAUGGCUCCUCGACAGGAAACGACGGCUCCUCGACAGGAAACGACGGCUCCUCGACA